rnacentral:rRNA from 1 species
GUAGGGAAUAUUGCACAAUGGGCGAAAGCCUGAUGCAGCAACGCCGCGUGCGCGAUGAAGGCCUUCGGGUUGUAAAGCGCUUUUCGGGGGGAUGAGGAAGGACAGUACCCCCGGAAUAAGUCACGGCUAACUACGUGCCAGCAGCCGCGGUAAGACGUAGGUGGCGAGCGUUAUCCGGAUUUACUGGGCGUAAAGCGCGUGCAGGUGGUUUGAUAAGUCGGGCGUGAAAUCUCCUGGCUCAACUGGGAGAGGCCGUUCGAUACUAUCAGACUUGAGGGCAGCAGAGGGAGGUGGAAUUCCGGGUGUAGUGGUGAAAUGCGUAGAUAUCCGGAGGAACACCGGUGGCGAAGGCGGCCUCCUGGACUGCCCCUGACACUCAGACGCGAAAGCUAGGGGAGCGAACGGGAUUAGAAACCCGAGUAGUCC